rnacentral:rRNA from 1 species
GAUGAACGCUAGCUACAGGCUUAACACAUGCAAGUCGAGGGGCAGCAUGGUCUUAGCUUGCUAAGGCCGAUGGCGACCGGCGCACGGGUGAGUAACACGUAUCCAACCUGCCGUCUACUCUUGGACAGCCUUCUGAAAAGAAGAUUAAUACAAGAUGGCAUCAUGAGUCCGCAUGUUCACAUGAUUAAAGGUAUUCCGGUAGACGAUGGGGAUGCGUUCCAUUAGAUAGUAGGCGGGGUAACGGCCCACCUAGUCUUCGAUGGAUAGGGGUUCUGAGAGGAAGGUCCCCCACAUUGGAACUGAGACACGGUCCAAACUCCUACGGGAGGCAGCAGUGAGGAAUAUUGGUCAAUGGGCGAGAGCCUGAACCAGCCAAGUAGCGUGAAGGAUGACUGCCCUAUGGGUUGUAAACUUCUUUUAUAAAGGAAUAAAGUCGGGUAUGGAUACCCGUUUGCAUGUACUUUAUGAAUAAGGAUCGGCUAACUCCGUGCCAGCAGCCGCGGUAAUACGGAGGAUCCGAGCGUUAUCCGGAUUUAUUGGGUUUAAAGGGAGCGUAGAUGGAUGUUUAAGUCAGUUGUGAAAGUUUGCGGCUCAACCGUAAAAUUGCAGUUGAUACUGGAUAUCUUGAGUGCAGUUGAGGCAGGCGGAAUUCGUGGUGUAGCGGUGAAAUGCUUAGAUAUCACGAAGAACUCCGAUUGCGAAGGCAGCCUGCUAAGCUGCAACUGACAUUGAGGCUCGAAAGUGUGGGUAUCAAACAGGAUUAGAUACCCUGGUAGUCCACACGGUAAACGAUGAAUACUCGCUGUUUGCGAUAUACUGCAAGCGGCCAAGCGAAAGCGUUAAGUAUUCCACCUGGGGAGUACGCCGGCAACGGUGAAACUCAAAGGAAUUGACGGGGGCCCGCACAAGCGGAGGAACAUGUGGUUUAAUUCGAUGAUACGCGAGGAACCUUACCCGGGCUUAAAUUGCAGAUGAAUUACGGUGAAAGCCGUAAGCCGCAAGGCAUCUGUGAAGGUGCUGCAUGGUUGUCGUCAGCUCGUGCCGUGAGGUGUCGGCUUAAGUGCCAUAACGAGCGCAACCCUUGUUGUCAGUUACUAACAGGUACCGCUGAGGACUCUGACAAGACUGCCAUCGUAAGAUGUGAGGAAGGUGGGGAUGACGUCAAAUCGGCACGGCCCUUACGUCCGGGGCUACACACGUGUUACAAUGGGGGGUACAGAGGGCCGCUACCACGCGAGUGGAUGCCAAUCCCCAAAACCUCUCUCAGUUCGGACUGGAGUCUGCAACCCGACUCCACGAAGCUGGAUUCGCUAGUAAUCGCGCAUCAGCCACGGCGCGGUGAAUACGUUCCCGGGCCUUGUACACACCGCCCGUCAAGCCAUGGGAGCCGGGGGUACCUGAAGUGCGUAACCGCGAGGAGCGCCCUAGGGUAAAACUGGUGACUGGGGCUAAGUAAUA